rnacentral:rRNA from 1 species
CCUACGGGUGGCAGCAGUGGGGAAUAUUGCACAAUGGGCGCAAGCCUGAUGCAGCCAUGCCGCGUGUGUGAAGAAGGCCUUCGGGUUGUAAAGCACUUUCAGCGGGGAGGAAGGCGAUAAGGUUAAUAACCUUAUCGAUUGACGUUACCCGCAGAAGAAGCACCGGCUAACUCCGUGCCAGCAGCCGCGGUAAUACGGAGGGUGCAAGCGUUAAUCGGAAUUACUGGGCGUAAAGCGCACGCAGGCGGUCUGUCAAGUCGGAUGUGAAAUCCCCGGGCUUAACCUGGGAACUGCAUUCGAAACUGGCAGGCUAGAGUCUUGUAGAGGGGGGUAGAAUUCCAGGUGUAGCGGUGAAAUGCGUAGAAAUCUGGAGGAAUACCGGUGGCGAAGGCGGCCCCCUGGACAAAGGCUGACGCUCAGGUGCGAAAGCGUGGGGAGCAAACAGGAUUAGAUACCCGUGUAGUC